UACGUAGGGUGCGAGCGUUGUCCGGAUUUAUUGGGCGUAAAGAGCUCGUAGGCGGCCUGUCGCGUCGGAUGUGAAAGCCCGAGGCUUAACCUCGGGUCUGCAUUCGAUACGGGCUAGCUAGAGUGUGGUAGGGGAGAUCGGAAUUCCUGGUGUAGCGGUGAAAUGCGCAGAUAUCAGGAGGAACACCGGUGGCGAAGGCAGCUCUCUGGGACGGUACUGACGCUGAGACGCGAAAGCGUGGGGAGCGAACAGG
rnacentral:rRNA from 1 species